UUGGCUUUGCAGAACAAUCUUAGGGUUUAUAUGAGAGGGAAUUGGUUCUUUGCGGAUGAGUUCCCUUCAGUCUCUGGAGGUUGCUCUGAAUUAGUUAGAAUCUCUCUCUUUCAUUUUUCUCUAGGGUUUUGUUCCAAGGAAACUUCAGAGUGUUUUUAGCUUUCACCAAUUCUCCUCCUCCCUUUUUUCUUUACUGAAAUUUCAGAAUUUAUAACUUGAUUGUGGGCUCAAAUGAGAGAGGUCUAAGUCUAAGAUUUUUCUGUUAUAUUUUUUUUAUUUAUUCAUUUAUUUAUUUAUUAUUUUAUUUUUUUUUC
rnacentral:lncRNA from 1 species